rnacentral:rRNA from 1 species
AAUAGAUACCCCGGUAGUCCACGCCGUAAACGAUGGAUACUAGCUGUUCGUCCGCCUCGGCGGAUGAGUGGCUAAGCGAAAGUGAUGAGUAUCCCACCUGGGGAGUACGAACGCAAGUUUGAAACUCAAAGGAAUUGACGGGGGCCCGCACAAGCGGUGGAGCAUGUGGUUUAAUUCGAUGAUACGCGAGGAACCUUACCAAGGCUUGAAUGUAGAUUGACAGGACUGGAAACAGUUUUUUCUUCGGACAAUUUACAAGGUGCUGCAUGGUUGUCGUCAGCUCGUGCCGUGAGGUGUCAGGUUAAGUCCUAUAACGAGCGCAACCCCUGUUGUUAGUUGCCAGCGAGUGAUGUCGGGAACUCUAACAAGACUGCCAGUGUAAACUGUGAGGAAGGUGGGGAUGACGUCAAAUCAUCACGGCCCUUACGCCUUGGGCUACACACGUGCUACAAUGGCCGGUACAGAGAGCAGCCACUGCGCGAGCAGGAGCGAAUCUAUAAAACCGGUCACAGUUCGGA